rnacentral:rRNA from 1 species
GAUGAACGCUGGCGGCGUGCUUAACACAUGCAAGUCGAACGGAGUGCUCAUGACGGAGGAUUCGUCCAACGGAUUGAGUUACUUAGUGGCGGACGGGUGAGUAACGCGUGAGGAACCUGCCUCGGAGUGGGGAAUAACAGCCCGAAAGGGUUGCUAAUACCGCAUAAUGCAGUUGGGCCGCAUGGCUCUGACUGCCAAAGAUUUAUCGCUCUGAGAUGGCCUCGCGUCUGAUUAGCUAGUUGGUGGGGUAACGGCCCACCAAGGCGACGAUCAGUAGCCGGACUGAGAGGUUGGCCGGCCACAUUGGGACUGAGACACGGCCCAG